UAUUCCAACUCUUUUCCCAUCCCAAAUAAUACCAACUCCCAGCCAGACCAUUAUCAAAUUUAAAACCAACUCCUCCAAAAACACAAAAAUUGACCCGACCCAACCCAAUCUUUUCCCAAAAAGAGAACCCAAAAGCGUCAAUUUCCCAGUCACCCAAAAGCAGGGCUCCAUCGUUUCCAGCAAUCCUAGAAGAAACACGUGUAAUAAACCCGAUCUCACCCAAACUCUUCAUCGUCCCUUUCACGCAAUUCCUAGCAAUAGCUGACCUCAUAAGCCAUAGCGCGUGAGACGCCUUCCUCAGUGUCUACCCUUCGUUUCAUACACUGUUGACAAUAGCAGCUGCAAGUCACGCGAAGUUGUCCUUGAAAGCUCGAGAUUAAGCCACGUCAUUUCCCAAGGACAAUCAAUUUGAUCCGUUCGUCCGUUCUCCUUCCCUCUUUAGGAAUGGAUGCAAGCUUUAGCAAAAGAUGGUCUGCCUCUAAUCUUGAAAGAGUUCAAAUUUUGAUUUUGAGAUGGGCUUUUAACCCAAAUUGGAUCCAUUUUCCCUCAUUUUCCAGCCUUAAAUUCCCACUAUAAAAGCUCUCUUUUCUUCAUCUCUGGGGGCUGGCCGGAAAAAGAUUGGAAAAAACGGUUGGAUUGUUUUAGUUGGACAUUGGAAGGGAUUUUCGAGUUGAGAAGUUUUGGAGAAAGAUAGGACAAAAGUUGACGAUUUUCAGUUGGGUUAUUAUUUGGUCUAACAAAUCGAGAAUAUCUUUAGAAACGGGUAGUGAUACACUCGAGAUACACUUCAGAAUAUAGAACUUCUUGAAUUUCUUCCUAGUCUCCUUAAUCAUUAGUGUUCAAUGUGUUCGUGGUGAAAGUCAUUACCUCUCUGCUAGUGCUGUCCUAUUUGCUGCCUUGAAGAAGUCCGCAGGGAUUCUUAUCUUUUACUUUCCCUUGCAUUUUGGAUGGGCCAUAAAGGCCUUAAAUAUUUUGUUUCUCAAGUCAUCCAGCUAUACGAAACUGACGUACAGGUGUUGGAGUAAAAAAAAAAACACCAGAUCUGAAGUUGAAGAGAUUGGGCUUAAACCCCACAUUUAUUUUAUUUUGUAGUAUUGGGCAUAAGCCCUUAUGUUCAUUUAAUUAUUUAGUAAUUAUAUGUUAGAAUCUUAGGGCAUGUGGAAAUGGCCCAAAAAAAGCAAAUCAAAAUGGGUUCAAAUACCGGUCCAGGCAGACACAAACUCCAUUUGGACCUAACUCUCUCUCUCUCUGUACUUUUACUUUUCGUCUAUUCGCUUGUCGAUAUUUGCUAUUAA